GACGAACGCUGGCGGCGUGCUUAACACAUGCAAGUCGAACGGAAAGGCCCUGCUUUUGUGGGGUGCUCGAGUGGCGAACGGGUGAGUAACACGUGAGUAACCUGCCCUUGUCUUUGGGAUAACUUCAGGAAAGUGGGGUUAAUACCGGAUAGGAGCUCCCGCUGCGUGGUGGGGGUUGGAAAGUCUCGGCGGUUGGGGCUGGACUGGCGGCUUAUCAGCUUGUUGGUGGGGUAGUGGCAUACCGAGGCGUUGACGGGUAGCCGGCCUGGGAGGGUGACCGGCGACAAUGGGACUAAGGGAGGGCCCAGACGCCAACGGGGGACAGCGGGGGGGAGUAUUGCACAGUGGUCGCAAGUCUGAGGCGACGACGCCGGGGGUGGGAAGACGGCCUUCGGGUUGAAAAACGCUUCCGCUUGUGACCACGCGGGAGUGACGGUAAUGGGUAAAGAAGCACCGGCUAACUACGUG
rnacentral:rRNA from 1 species